rnacentral:misc_RNA from 1 species
AGUGUUGAGAUGAAGCAGCUAGCCUAUGCCAGUGAAAUCUAUUGAAGAUAAGGCUACUGGUGGAAAUUCUAGAAACAAAAACGACUCCAAACGAAAAAAGGAAACGAGAAAGUGGCUCACCCGUCGACAAGGAGACGAAAUCAUGUCCUUGAUCCUGCAACCAACUACAAUGAGGAAGACAACCUCGAUGAACUUCACAGUCUUACUAGAGACGCACGCGUACUUAGGCUCGAAUCAAGUUGCGACCGACUGCAAGGUGAAGUAGUUAAGCACUAGGUUCACUCGCCGAGAAAUGUCUACUGACCCAGUGAGGCUGAACCGCUGAAGAAAGACCUGCACCGCAGGAUUCACUCCUAACCUCUCUUCUUCUUCUACUUCUCUUCUAAAGAGCAACAAGGAGCAAAGUAGUUCUUCUGCUUUUUCUCAGCUGCGUGAAGAUGACGACCCUGGCCCUGAACUCAACAUAGAGCCUAGUGCGGCUGACGGCCUGUAUAGGUUGCUUCAGAUUAGAAAAACCUGCAAACAGUUAGAGGACACCAGUUAGCACUUCCUAAGAGUUAUUGUUUUACAAUUUUCGUUAGUGUUUGGUUUUGACAAGACUGUACUUUAAACAUAGAACAAUGAUUUGUAACUACAAACGAAAAUUAGGAGCCAGACAGAAUCGUAAUUAUUCUUCAGAAGACGUUUUGAUAAUAAGGUGGCCAAAAAAUCAUAACGGAAUUUUUUUGUAAACAAACAUAAAAUAUUCAUUUGAUCAGGAAUGAUCUUUAUCUGUUUUUUCUUUAAUAAACUACGACAGAAUGCAUUUACACACUGAUAUGAGCUCAGCAAGCUUUUGUGUGACUGUCUAUCCCUGAAUUAAGAGCCCAGCCAUGUAGAAGGCAUUCGACAUUGUCGUGAGUCCCUGGCAUAGCCACACUCAAACACUGGAUGCAAACUCACUGCAUUAGUGUUCUCCAAGAGUAAGAAUGGUAUCAUCACAGAGAGAAUCUUGCUUUAUCCUAUUCAUGAUAUACGACAUCUGGGGUACACAUAUUAAGCUAUAUCUUAAUUAUCUAUCUGUAUUAUCUAAAUUUAUAUCUACUUUAAUUAUACUUUUACUUUUCAC